rnacentral:rRNA from 1 species
GACGAAGGAUGCAAGCGUUAUCCGGAUUCAUUGGGGUUAAAGGGAGCGUAGGUGGCCUGCUAAGUCAGUGGUGAAAUCUCUGGGCUUAACCCAGAAAUUGCCAUUGAUACUGGUGGGCUUGAGUGCAGUUGCUGUUGGCGGAAUAUGACAUGUAGUGGUGAAAUACAUAGAGAUGUCAUAGAACACCGAUUGCGAAGGCAGCUAACAAAACUGUAACUGACACUGAGGCUCGAAAGUGUGGGGAUCAAACAGG